ACUCAGCUGGCUUAAUCAGAAGAGCGUCUGACUCUUGAUCUCAAGGUCGUGAUUUCGAGCCCCAUGUUGGGUG
rnacentral:tRNA from 1 species